rnacentral:sRNA from 1 species
CGCAAGUCACCGCCUAAUCGGGACCUCGUGAGAGCCCCGAACCGGGAACCCGAUUUCCACUGGGGUGAAUCCCGCCGAAUCGCUACCGCGUGCCGGUGGGUAGGGCUGAUCUUCCCAGCCCGAACCCGUCAGCUAACUCGGUCGGCGGAUGAGUGGAAGA